GACGAACGCUGGCGGCGUGCCUAAUACAUGCAAGUAGAACGCACAGUUUAUACCGUAGCUUGCUACACCAUAGACUGUGAGUUGCGAACGGGUGAGUAACGCGUAGGUAACCUGCCUGGUAGCGGGGGAUAACUAUUGGAAACGAUAGCUAAUACCGCAUAAUAUUAAUUAUUGCAUGAUAAUUAAUUGAAAGGUGCAAUUGCACCACUACCAGAUGGACCUGCGUUGUAUUAGCUAGUAGGUGAGGUAACGGCUCACCUAGGCGACGAUACAUAGCCGACCUGAGAGGGUGAUCGGCCACACUGGGACUGAAACACGGCCCAGACUCCUACGGGAGGCAGCAGUAGGGAAUCUUCGGCAAUGGACGAAAGUCUGACCGAGCAACGCCGCGUGAGUGAAGAAGGGUUUCGGAUCGUAAAGCUCUGUUGUAAGAGAAGAACGGGUGUGAGAGUGGAAAGUUCACACUGUGACGGUAUCUUACCAGAAAGGGACGGCUAACUACGUG
rnacentral:rRNA from 1 species